ACGAGCCUCGCCCGUCCGUCGUGGUGUUCGUCCAGCUCGGCGCACGCAUAUACCCUACCACCAUGGCACUAGGACGACGACGUCCCUUUCGUCUUCCUCCAUCCCCGGCCGUGUGUGCGCGUGUGGGGUGCGCCGAUAAGUCAGCCGUGUCGUGUGUAAGUGAAUUGGGCGACGUAGUGGAUCUCCACUCUCUCCCUUCAUGCACCGCCUGCCUGUCCUCCAACGUUUCAAAACCCAAAAACCCUGCACACAGAGAAACACCUUCUUUUUCCUGCUGCUCAGACGAUCUGGCGUCAAGGCUGCUGCUGCUGGGUUUAGUAUACCUUCCACCCGUCACGUUCUCCACCAAUAACUUAAUCCCCUCCGCACCCUCUCUAGUAGUAUAAUAUACUCCUCUUCCCAAUCUGGCUCUCUCUCUCUCUCUUCAUGUGCUAGCUCCAUCUUCUUCCUCCUCGGCCCAGCUUACAGACACAGCUCUUGUUGGACAGAGAGAGAGAGGGAGGGGGGUUCGAAUUGAAUUGAAUCCCACCGACCGGGGCAGUGCAGUGCACGCACCUCCCCCUCACUCCUUUCCAUUUACCUCCACCUAUAUAGCUCCCCGUAUUUCCACCCCGCCCUCUUCUCUCUUAGCAGUACAGUGCGGCGCGGUGCGGUGCCUCUCCAUAUAAUUUUAGCUGGUGCAAACCAGACAGCAGCAGCUUUCUCCUACCUCUCCCUCGGACUACACCACAGCUAGAACAGCCAUGCUCAUGCAGGAAGAGAACUAGAUAGCUAGCUAGAGUUAGUCCCUUGUUUACACAGCCAGCAGCUAGCUUCUUCUUGAUCAGCAGCAGAUAGGUAGAGGAGUUCUUUUCUUUCCUCAGUUUUCAUACCAAGGCAAGCCGGCCAGGAAGGAGCAAGGAAGAGAUACCGGUGAUCGAUCGGUUGAAGGAAACAGAGGAGUUUACAGAGUAACGCAGGCGAAGACGGGAAGAGAGUCAGGGGUUGAGGAGAUUGGGAUUGAGAUUGCGAUGGCGAGCGGGCGGUUCAUGGAGGAGAUGAUGAGGGAGCACGAGCAGAGCCUGCUAGAGGCGACGUGCGGCGGCCUGUUCGACCACAUCGAGGACCUGCUCGACUUCCCCAAGGAGGACUCGGCGGAGGACGUGCUGCUCCUCGACGCGCCGGUGCCUGACAGCCCCCUCGCCGCGCGCGUCCUCGCCGGCGGCGCGCCCCCGCCGGCGCCGGCCUCGCUGGAGCAGCAGCAGCAGCAGGCGUCGCUCAUGGUGCCCCCGCCCCCGCCCGCCGGGGACCACUCCGCGGCCUUCCUCGGCGCCCUCGGAGACACCCACAUUGGCACGUGCGACGAGCUGGACAUGGACAUGGCGCAGCUCGAGUGGCUGUCGGGGCUGUUCGACGACACCUCCAUCCCGCACGAGCCGGCCUUCGCCUGCGCCGCGCCCAUCAUCAGGGCCUCCGCGCUGAGUGCCAACGCCGGCGUCGUGCUGCCCGACAAGAUGGAGGACGCGCUCUUCCGCAGCUCCAGCCCCACCUCCGUGCUCGAGGACGGCGCGAACAAUGUCAACGUGAACAUGAACAACAACAACAGCGGGGGCUCCUCGGCGUCGUCGACGUCGUCGUCGGCAUCGUCCUCCUCGGAGUCAUUCUCCGGGAGCGGCCGCCCGUGGUCUGUGCCGCUGUCGCCGCGCCCGGAGCCGCCGGUGCUCGUCAUCCCGGCGCGCGCGCGCAGCAAGCGGUCCCGCGCCUCAGCGUUCCCCGCUGCCAUCCGCGCCGCUGUGCCCGCGCCCGAGACCAUCCUCGUGCCGACGCCCAUGUUCUCCUCCACCUCCUCCUACUCGGAGGAGCCCGAGUGCAUUGCCGAGUCCAACUCGCAGCCCAAGAAGAAGAAGAAGGCCAAGAGGCCGACCCCUCCGGUCACCUCUGAUGCUGAGGGCGACGCCGACUACGAGGAAGGCAGCGGCCUCGCGCCCGGCGAGGUGCGGAGGUGUAUGCAUUGCCAGAUCGACAAGACGCCGCAGUGGCGCGCUGGGCCGCUGGGGCCCAAGACGCUCUGCAACGCAUGCGGCGUCCGCUACAAGUCCGGCCGCCUCUUCCCGGAGUACCGCCCGGCGGCCAGCCCCACCUUCGUGCCAGCCAUCCACUCCAACUCCCACAAGAAGGUGGUGGAGAUGCGCCAGAAGGUUGAGCCCAAGGGCGACGACCUGCUGCAGUUCAUCCGCCGCCGGGAUUGAUCGAGCUCCCCGUGCCGGCAUCGGUCGCCGGACGGUUGGUCUCGUCUCAUCCCCCUUAGCUAUUAUAUAUGUAUACAUGCUAGUAUGUAUGCAUUGCAUGCUUGCUUCCAUCCAUGUAGUCAGUCAGUCAUCGUCGUCCGUCGUCAUGCAUCCACCCACCAUCAUCGCCAUGCAUCGGUUUCAGUCAGCAUCCACCCAUCAAUCGCCGGGCAUCCUGGCCGGCGUUAGUUCAAUAGGGCUUUUCUUUUGGGUUUACUCCACCUCUUUUUCUUCGUCUAUUACUUAAUUGGUUCCCCCUAAGAAGAUUUUUUGUUUGUAUAGAGGAGGGUGAGUGAGGAGGGCAGGAGAAAUAGAUGGAUGGAUCAAUCACAGAGUCAGUGGUUGUUGCAUUGCAGUUGCUUGCAAAUUAGGUACUAGGUGAGAAGGAGAGCUAAACCAGCAGCAGCAGCAGCAGCAGAGGCAGAGGCAGCUAGACAGUCAAUUAGGAAAGUUGGUGUGUGCUCUGAAGCAAGAGUGAAGUCAAGGAGAUUUGUUGGUUUGCUAAGUUAGAGAGAAACUUUGUGUCAAGUAGUAGCCAUCAGGAGGUUGAAGUAGGGGGAUCACCAAUCAAUCAUAGUCAGCAGUUUAUAUUGGAGCUUGGUGUACUCAACUCUGAAUAUUCUUUUUGCAGUUCAUCUAUGUUUAGGGAUUUAUAAGUGGUGUCUGUCUUUCUUGUGUUUUAUACUAGUAGUGUUACCCUUUUUUUUAUUACUAGUAGCCAUUAAUUAAGAUUCCUUUUUUUAGUCAUCAUGCCUUGUUGCCUCUAUGCAAGUUGUGAUCAUCCAAGCAAAGGAAUUAUAAUCCUUGAGCUCUUCUUCUUCCCCCGUUUCUCCUGUCAACUGACUAUGCAAGUUGAGCACUGCUACUGAUAGUGACUACUACUCCUAGUGACAAUUAUAAAUGCUAAUGCGCCGCAACAUCAUCAGUACUAUAAUAAAACAGCAAGACACACAUAAUGCAUAGUACUUAUGAUGUGUAAGGGGACAGAGCACAUGGUCAAAUUCAAGGUCCUGGUCCUGGAGCACACUCAUAUAUGGAUGUGGCCUGUCCAUCCAUAUAAUAAAUUCAUGAUUGAUGGCAAUGAACAUUCCCAUGUCCACCCCAGUUGGACAGAUGCUCAAUUGGAUUGGAUUACCUUCACCAUGUGCUCUGCUAGUGCUACAACUCAUCAAAGAGAGUGGGUCACAUCUUUGCACCCACAAAUCCUAGCCAUGUUAAGAGAUUUUCGCAGUCAGUCGUCGCCUCUACAUGGUCCAAUCAACACAGUUUCAUCUCAACUGCUACAUUUUCAUCUCUAUUGCUUGUGGGGGAACCGGACUCAUGUAUACAAAAAAUAUCUUUAA
rnacentral:rRNA from 1 species